GAUCUCUCCUCCCUGUACCUGGGCAACAAACUUGCUUCCCAUGUGUUCUGUUGAUGCUCCUCAAACACCCGCUGGGGAAAUGCAAACUGGUGCCAGGCACAUGAGUGAAGAGCCACCUUCUGGCCCGCCCCUUGUCAACCGAGUCACUCUGAGCCAACAGGGUCCAGAUACUAUGGAGCAGACACAGGCUAUCCACAUUGUGUCUCAUCCAAACUCCUGACCCACGGACUCCUUGAGCAUGAGGAGAUGUUGGCUUAACGUUCAACAUUCAGAAAACGAAGAUCAUGGCAUCUGGUCCCAUCACUUCAUGGCAAACAGAUGGGGAAACAGUGGAAACAGUGGCAGACUUUACUUUGGGGGGCUCUAAAAUCACUGCAGAUGGUGACUGCAGACAUGAAAUUAAAAGACGCUUACUCCUUGGAAGAAAAGUUAUGACCAACCUAGACAACAUAUUAAAAAGCAG
ensembl:lncRNA